rnacentral:rRNA from 1 species
GGACUACUGGGGUAUCUAAUCCUGUUUGUUACCCGAGCCUUCGUCCCUCAACGUCAGUUAUUAGAUAAAAGGUCGCCUUCGCCAUUAUCAGUCUUCAUACUAUCAACGAAUUUCAUCUCUACUGUAUAAAUACUCACCUCCUUCUAUAUAACUCUAGUAAAAUCGUAUCCUAUUUUGGACUAAUUAUACCGUCUAGGUACCCUUUAAACCUAUUAAAGAUGAAUAACACUAGUCUUUUACGUAUUACCGCGGCUGCUGGCAC